rnacentral:lncRNA from 1 species
CCGCCCAAUGGGACAGAUGUUCGAGGCCAUGGCCAUGAGUUGAGCGUGAAAAUGAUUGACUUGCACGUCCACAAUGGUCCAAGAGAAAAGGGAAAUCAAAAGCGAGAAAAACGAUGGCCUAGCCUGGUGGACCUAAUUUGAGAUGUCGAGUUUGUAAGAACUUUUCAAAGGACUGCUAUUGAUAAAACCAAACGAUAUUUGGAACUAAACCUAGAAGCAUUUUUUUAUGAAAUAGGAGGGGCAAGGCCCAAUCUAAAAGCAUCUUCAUAUUUUGCGAGUGUUUUCUAAAAUGACUGAAGGUUAU